rnacentral:rRNA from 1 species
CCUACGGGUGGCAGCAGUGAGGAAUAUUGGUCAAUGGUCGGGAGACUGAACCAGCCAAGCCGCGUGAGGGAGGAAGGUACAGAGUAUCGUAAACCUCUUUUGUCAGGGAACAAAGGCGGGGACGUGUCCCCGGAUGAGUGUACCUGAAGAAAAAGCAUCGGCUAACUCCGUGCCAGCAGCCGCGGUAAUACGGAGGAUCCGAGCGUUAUCCGGAUUUAUUGGGUUUAAAGGGUGCGCAGGCGGUCGGUUAAGUCAGUGGUCAAAGCCCGGGGCUCAACCCCGGCCCGGCCGUUGAAACUGGCAGGCUCGAGUGGGGGAGAGGUAUGCGGAAUGCGCGGUGUAGCGGUGAAAUGCAUAGAUAUCGCGCAGAACACCGAUUGCGAAGGCAGCAUGCCGGCUCCACACUGACGCUGAGGCACGAAAGCGUGGGUAUCGAACAGGAUUAGAUACCCGGGUAGUC